UAAUUUUUUAAGGAUGAUUUGAAAGGAGGAUUUACUUCUAGAUGUUAAAUAAGUUUCCCUACAAGAUGUACACAUGGAAGAAACAGCCACCGGGGAUGAACAACUUCUCAAGGGAAGCAAAGAGAAACAGAGCAACAGCCCGACUGGAACAUGUGCUGCGAAAAUGAAGGAAGAUCUGACUGCAGCUUCUGGAGCUCUUGCAGGGAGAUACUGUUCAAAACAAGCUGCCCUGAUUUUCAAGCCACUCACUCUUAGUGUGCUAAGGAGAAAGGAGGGAGCGGUA
rnacentral:lncRNA from 1 species